CUAUAAGGUGCGUUUGGUUAGAUUUACAUAGAAAUGCAGUGUAAUUGAAAAUGCCAGAGGUGAAAAUGUAGUAUUUACAAUUACAUUCAUCUUGUCUAAUUGAGUGCAGUACAAAACUCUAUAAUUAUAAAUAGUUUAUUGAGUAAACUUCAAAUAUCACCUCUAUGAUUUCGUACUUUCUCACUUUAAUACCCUGUGGUAUAAAGUGUAUCAAUGUAGUACACUAUAGUUUUAUUUCUUUUUUCGUCAGCUCUUCCGUUAAUAUUUCAUUAAAUUAUAUACCAAACACUUCAAAUACCCUGGCUAGAUUUAUCGAAUAUUCACUUUAGUACCUUUUAGUUUAAACUUUAUUACUGAUUUAAUGAAAAAAAUUAGUGGAGGGAUUCUAAAAAGAGAAAAAUUAAUAAAACCACGGGAUAGUAAAUUGAUACACUUUAAAAUAUAGGAUACUAAAACAAAAAAGUGCGAAAUCAUAGGGAUGGUAUUUGAAGUUUUUCCUAAUUUACUUGAUUGUAUGUAUUUGAGAAGUGCAAAUCUAAAAUGUUAUAACUUUAUAUAUAUGAUAGUGAGAUUAUCUCUCAUGUAGAAAAAAAAAAAAUUAGAAAGUGAUUAGAGAGAUAAGUAAGUACUUUUUGUUUAUAAUUACUCUUCCUAAUUAUUGUAGUUGAAACUGUGACCAAUUUGGCCGGUGUUCAAACUACUGUAUGUAGUUGGACCUUCUUAUGUAGUUUUAAUUGUAGUAGUUAGAUAGUAUUGAACCAAAUAGUAAAUUUGAAUAUGCAUGUAGUUGCAACAGCAGUGACUAC
rnacentral:lncRNA from 1 species